UGUUAGCACAGUAGACACUUCUUCUGGACUACGCUUCGCAUACCCGGUGGUACAUGCAAAUGCUGAAGAUACCAUUUAAGGUUUGGAACUGAAGAUUCUGUACCAGUUUGGACAGUCAAGUUACAUCUCCAACCAGGGGACAUGCUUUACAGACCAUGGUGUUCCACGGUGGGCCGAGAAACAUCCCAUCAGAUGGAUGCACAGUGUUGCAUGUCACUCUCAGAGCAAUGGUUUAAUAGGAAAUUGGAGUGGGCUUUGGGAACAUUGGCUGUCUAAAAUGGGAGAUAAAGGCACGAGGGGCUGGCUUACAUGCCUUCAAGAGCGGGUGCCCACACUCAACGGGAGGCAGGUAAGGGAGGGUAGAUUCCUCUGCUUCUCCAGGGAUCUGGGGAAGGGGUUCUGGGAGAGGUUGCUAGUGCACUGUUCUGUGCUUCCCCACAUCACCACAACUUUGUUUUUUCCUAACCAAUCCAAUGAUUCCAGGAACAGAGCUGCUUCUGAGGGUGCCAGAAGCAGUGUACUUUACUAAGCAAGAAAAUGUAACCAUACCCCUAAAUCUUUAUGCCGUAAUUCCUAAGCGCCUGCUGAGGUGAAUGGUGCCUUGACCCCAGGUAGCCAGGUCAGAGCUGAUAGCACAGCGAUCGCUUUUCUGUGAGGAAUCCGCAUUUGAUACCAAGGAGCCCGCUGCACGAAGAUGCCCUCCUCUUACUCUGCUCUCUUCCACACGUGCUGCCGUCUGCCCUGAAUUCUUGCUCCCCUGGGAUCGUCCUCACCACUGCAACCACAGUGCAGACAGUGUUUAGCUCCGUCCUGCACCUGAGCUAAGAGGCGGGCGAGGAGGCAGAGGAGCUGGCACUGCUGUGGGGCUGGGUAGCUGAGGACUGGUCCAGGGAGGGGCUGGCUGGUCCUCUGGGGCCUGAAGGUGGGUCGGAUUGAAAAGGAAUGGCAGGGGCAGGGCCAGAGCCUGGAAGAGUCCCGUGUGACUGCUGCGGAGGGGACUCGGGCAGUGACCAGCUUCACCUGCACCUGUGGCUGCCAGCACACCUCCGGGCCCCGUCAUGUGGCCUCUCUGACAAGAUGUUUUCAGAGGCUUUAAAAGAAAGAAAGAAAAUGCUAUUGUAAUUCUCUUCCCGGUUUACUAAAUAACCUGCAUGUAACCCAUAGAGUGUAACAAAGCAAACCCACUUCUCCCUCUCCCUGAAUUGGGUGGGGACUUGGCCCAUCCCCACUGCUGUGUAGUCACUGCUUGCCUUAUGGCUCCCCCAUGCUCGGUGGGAUAGAUGGACUUCAGUCUAGGCUGUUUCCUCUCUCCUGCCUGGCUUCUGGGGGGCCUGUGUGGCUGCCCUCCUGAUCACAGCUGGGUUGGGCUGGGGCUCCUGCAUACAGGGACAGGGAUGUCUGUCCCUAGCCCUGGCCAGGACCCAGGCACGGCUUUCUUAACCUCACCUGCCGGGACUGCACAGCCCCGAGGUGACCCAGCUUCCAGUUCCACUGACAGCUUGAGGUUUCCAUAUCCUAUCUUCUUUGGCCCUCUACUUGCCUGCUGGAAACACUCCACUUAAAACUUCAGGGUAUCUGAAAAUGCAGGGUUUAAUACAUCCAGAUUAUGGCUAAGGACCACUGGUAUUGAAUGAUUGUGUGUGUGUGGCAGAGGGGAGAGGGGAGAGGGGAGAGGGAGAAGAGAGAGCAUAAGCUAGCAGGAGAGCCCUUUAACAGGUUUAUCCAGUUUUCCCAGCAUAAUUUGUCAAAGAUUCUAUCCUUUCCCCAUUCCUAUUUACACUUGGGUCCUUAGUCGUUGGUUGUCUAUGCUUAUUUCUGGGCUCUCUCUCUUCUGUUCUGUUGCACUACAUGUGUAUCAUUAUGCCAGGACCAUACUGAUUUAGUUACUAUAACUUGUAAUAUAGUUUGCAGUCAGAAAGUGUGAUUCCCCCCAUUUUGUUCUUUCUCAAGAUUGUUUAGUGCUUCUGGGUAUUUUGUGGUUCCAUCUGAAUGUUAGGGGUUUUUAAAAAUAUUUUCGUAUAAUAAUCAUUGUGGUAAUUAUGGGGACAACAUUGAAUCUGCUGAUCACUUUAGGUCAGAUGCCCCAAGGCGCAAGUAACAAACAA